CAAGGGAUUAUUCAUUCCCUGUGAAAAUCAGUCCAACAUGCCAUAUUUUAUCCUCGAUGAUUAUUGCUGUCUUGGUUAAUGGCCAGAUUUCCUUGGGAUCACAAACUGGGGUUCAGAUCUCCUUUUUCUCAUAUAAGAAACUGACCAUGCCCAUAUAAAGCUUGAUAAAGUUCUUUCAUAGCUUCGACCAACCACGACAUUAAGCUGAAUCAGAGUCUACCCACGUCUGCCGUACAAGCAAUCAAGUUUUCCGGAAAACUGAUGCAGCAUCUUAAAGUUUCCUUAAGUUCAGCAGAUGGUGGAGAGACACAAUGAAACACCAGUAACUUUCAACUUCCAACUGUGUAAAUCCUUGAGGAUGGAGACUGGAGAGCCAAGACAGCAGGGACAGAUGUGGCUUUGGCAUUGAAGUCAUGGCACAGGAGGAGCCGGCCAAUAGAAGGACCCAAAGUAUCCUCCAAAAGAAGCGAACGAUGCUCCAUUGGCAAAAAGUUGCAACAGUCAUAUGCUGUAGGCCUCCACCCAGUCCUGGCUGUUAAGUGAGUAACUUCCCCCACUUUCUUCCAAGAAUGGGGCCUCUCCCUCACGGCUCAUCAUCUUUUGCCUGAAUCCACCAGCAAUGCAGAUGGAAAAUCUGUAAGGCAGGAAAACUCCGAGGAAUGAAGCCGGUUCCUUGUAAAAGCAAGUGUCAAGUUGUGGGCUGAGGGCUUUUUCUGAGCCAGCGCUUCACAAAUACCACAAGCAUCUGAAGGGCUGGGAGAACAGCGUCAAUUAAACAAGGGGAUUUCUGGUUGGAAAUGCAUCAAGAUCAAAGACUGAUUGAAAGAUGAGACCGUAUACUGUGUGAAAACAGCGAAGGUUAAAGCAGAUCAACUGACUUGGCUGGACUUGGUUCUCUCAAUUGACUCAGAAGAAGGACAUCUGAAAUGGUGGUGGCCAUCUUGAGUAGGUCAAGAGACCGGUUGCUGCUCCUGCCUUGUUCCCUCCCUGAGGUGACACCUUUUCUUGCUUACUAUCAGAAGCUAGCUCCAUUUAAUACAAGAUGAAUCCUGGAACGCCAGAAACCCAAGAGCCAUGAUCUGGUAAUUCUCAGCAGGUAUUAU